UUGUACACACUUCUUUAACCUCCAAUAUGAUAUGGAGUGCAAACAAAGAAUUAAAUUCCAAAAUACUAUUUAUCCAUUAGUGUAAUCAAUGAAAAGCCUGUGUUAGCCCUCUUGAUUAGACACAAUUUAGUAAACAGGUGCCAGAGAUUAAAUUACAAUUAAACAAUUCUGAGGUGUAUUUUUUUUUCCAGAACACAGCUGAGGGACAAGGGAGCUGUUGCAAGGUGGAAAGUGAGUUUCCAUUUUUGUUGAGAGAGAACUUUUAAAUUCAGAAAGAUCAAGCAUGGUUCACAGACUCUCUCAAACUCUGCUUUCAGGUUCAGGCUUAUCCAGUCUCAACUGUAUAAAGAAUGAAGCUCUGAAGUCCCUCUCAAACUGUCAAGUCAAACUGUCAAACAAAAUGUAGAUAACAGCAUCAACCUGAAAUCAAUAUGGUCUUCACUCUUGUUAAAGGAGGACACUAUAGUAUGAAUGUGCCAUGACAAGACACCUGCUAACAACUCCUGGCAUUAAAUGUAACAUGUAUGUUUUUACACAAUAGCAACAUUGCAAAGGAAAAGUAACAGCCAUUAAAAUGCUGAUGACCCAAGAGUAUUUAAAUAAAGCCUAAUGAUGAU